GCGACGACGGGUAGCCGGCCUGAGAGGGUGACCGGCCACACUGGGACUGAGACACGGCCCAGACUCCUACGGGAGGCAGCAGUGGGGAAUAUUGCACAAUGGGCGAAAGCCUGAUGCAGCGACGCCGCGUGAGGGAUGACGGCCUUCGGGUUGUAAACCUCUUUCAGCAGGGACGAAGCGCAAGUGACGGUACCUGCAGAAGAAGCACCGGCUAACUACGUGCCAGCAGCCGCGGUAAUACGUAGGGUGCGAGCGUUGUCCGGAAUUAUUGGGCGUAAAGAGCUCGUAGGCGGUUUGUCGCGUCGGCCGUGAAAACUUGGGGCUUAACCCCAAGCUUGCGGUCGAUACGGGCAGACUUGAGUUCGGCAGGGGAGACUGGAAUUCCUGGUGUAGCGGUGAAAUGCGCAGAUAUCAGGAGGAACACCGGUGGCGAAGGCGGGUCUCUGGGCCGACACUGACGCUGAGGAGCGAAAGCGUGGGGAGCGAACAGGAUUAGAUACCCUGGUAGUCCACGCCGUAAACGGUGGGUGCUAGGUGUGGGGGGCUUCCACGCCCUCUGUGCCGCAGCUAACGCAUUAAGCACCCCGCCUGGGGG
rnacentral:rRNA from 1 species